rnacentral:rRNA from 1 species
CCUACGGGCGGCUGCAGUGGGGAAUAUUGGACAAUGGGGGGAACCCUGAUCCAGCCAUGCCGCGUGUGUGAAGAAGGCCCUCGGGUUGUAAAGCACUUUCAGUGAGGAAGAACGCCUGGUGGUUAAUACCCAUCAGGAAAGACAUCACUCACAGAAGAAGCACCGGCUAACUCCGUGCCAGCAGCCGCGGUAAUACGGAGGGUGCGAGCGUUAAUCGGAAUUACUGGGCGUAAAGCGCGCGUAGGUGGCUUGAUAAGCCGGUUGUGAAAGCCCCGGGCUCAACCUGGGAACGGCAUCCGGAACUGUGAAGCUAGAGUGCAGGAGAGGAAGGUAGAAUUCCCGGUGUAGCGGUGAAAUGCGUAGAGAUCGGGAGGAAUACCAGUGGCGAAGGCGGCCUUCUGGACUGACACUGACACUGAGGUGCGAAAGCGUGGGUAGCAAACAGGAUUAGAUACCCGGGUAGUC